rnacentral:rRNA from 1 species
CCUACGGGAGUCUGCAGUGGGGAAUAUUGGACAAUGGGCGAAAGCCUGAUCCAGCCAUGCCGCGUGUGUGAAGAAGGCCUUCGGGUUGUAAAGCACUUUCAGUGGGGAAGAAAGCCUUGGGGCUAAUACCCUCGAGGAAGGACAUCACCCACAGAAGAAGCACCGGCUAACUCCGUGCCAGCAGCCGCGGUAAUACGGAGGGUGCGAGCGUUAAUCGGAAUUACUGGGCGUAAAGCGCGCGUAGGCGGUCUGAUAAGCCGGUUGUGAAAGCCCCGGGCUCAACCUGGGAACGGCAUCCGGAACUGUCAGGCUAGAGUGCAGGAGAGGAAGGUAGAAUUCCCGGUGUAGCGGUGAAAUGCGUAGAGAUCGGGAGGAAUACCAGUGGCGAAGGCGGCCUUCUGGACUGACACUGACGCUGAGGUGCGAAAGCGUGGGUAGCAAACAGGAUUAGAUACCCUGGUAGUC